UACGUAGGGUGCGAGCGUUAAUCGGAAUUACUGGGCGUAAAGCGUGCGCAGGCGGUUUGUUAAGUCUGAUGUGAAAGCCCCGGGCUCAACCUGGGAACGGCAUUGGAAACUGGCAAGCUAGAGUGUGGCAGAGGGGGGUGGAAUUCCGCGUGUAGCAGUGAAAUGCGUAGAGAUGCGGAGGAACACCGAUGGCGAAGGCAGCCCCCUGGGCCAACACUGACGCUCAGGCACGAAAGCGUGGGGAGCAAACAGG
rnacentral:rRNA from 1 species